UGAACACCAACCAAGCUGGACUCAGUCUGACGUAUGUACUGCUACGAAGGCUUUUCUCAGUAACGGUGGAGGCAGGGCGAGCAGCUGUGGGUAGGCCUAUUGUUGCCACCAUUUGGCGAAGACGAUUUCAGGAUGCAAAAGUGCUCAAUUUGGCUCUUCAUACUUUACUUGGCAAUGGAGGCUGCAUCUCCAGCAGCCGCUAGUAGUCAACUGGGACCAGUGACCGGUUUCAUCGCAGACCUCUUCAACAAUAUUAUAGCGGUCGUCGACGCUGGAAUCAAGGAAGGUCUGAGCCUGCUGCACCUUAUACUGCCCACUCCAACUCCAACGCCUGCUGAAGUGGCCACUGAGAAACCUGAAGCCAGCUAAUAAAUGCCAAAAGAGCAAUUUCUGUCUUUCCACAUCCGGCGUCGCUUGUUCGGCACAGGAAUUGACUGGCCCGCAAAAAUUUACCAUGCGUUCCACGCAACGAGUGCCAA